AUUCUGCAUUUGCCUUUUUCCGACCACCCACUUGACAAAGUGGUGUUCUUGCUCCGUCAGAUCCGCACCAGUAACCUCUUGUUUCUCUUUCUCCUAUCCUGAAGCGCUUCAUUCUUCCUUUCGCUCUGCCUUUCACUUACUUCCGGUGUUGCAUCGACUGCAUCAUGAGGUCGCCUUCCGGAUUCAAUGGCUUCAAGCGUUCUCGUACGCUUGAACCUUGCAGGUGUUUCUAUUCGUGAGGAUGAUCUUAAUUCUUAAACGAUUGGGGUCUGGUAGCGGACGCCUUGGGAGACUAGAGAAGCACGGAUGUUAUGGUCAGGUUCCUUCAACUUAAUUGAAGUUGUUGAUUCUCCCACCUUGAGGUAUCUGCAUUGGCCAUACCCCCUCCUGUGGCUGCUGCUGCUUCUCAUGGUCGUUGUUCCUGUUUGAGGAUGUUCCGCUCUGCAUGCAGAGAUCUGGGCACCAAUCGUUUUGCCUUAGUAAGUUGCCCGGCUUUCAUCUGCGACUCAAACAGGGGGUGAUCUGAUCCCAUUUCCCAGAACCAUUGUUUCAUCUUGAUCCAUCGUUGCUAUUUUGGACUUCCAAUCUUUUGUGGAAGCCAGCUUUGAUUCAGACAUCUUAGCUACAGGCCGGGAAGUGGCACAUUCACUAUUGUUCGGUUCCACAAUCCAAUCAAUAUCCUCCCCUUUCCAUCUGAAAUAUACUCUAAUUCCUUAGUUUUUAUCAUUUAGCUUUCAUAUUUUGAGUCAACGCCUAUGCAGAUCAUGUGCUUGAAGAAAUGAACCGUUUUGUCAUUUUUACCUUUUAACCAUAGUUCGAAUUUUUAUGGCGGUAGCUUCUUCUCAGGUUGCACGGUUUUCGAAAAAUAUACCUUGCUGAAGUAGCCAUCACCGGUUUCCAUUGUGAAACUUGUACUAUUGUUGCAAAGUUCAAGCUUAUCUAUCCAAGGGCUGUUAAAAGAAUGAUCAUUAACUGCUCGCCUUCACUGAAUAGUUACCGAAAGAAGCUGAAGUUGAGAUGCAGUUUGAUGCCUUCUGCACGCACGCAGAUCAUCGUCUGCAACUGCUUUGGAGUUUAAGUGAUCUGUCUUCCACAUCAUCGAGCAAAGCUAUUGGGUCUAGUUGGCCUCAGAAGCUGGAAUUUGCUCAAGUUUUUGACGGAAAUUACCUAGGGAAGUCUGCUUGGAUCAAAGACGAUGGGGGGUAGCAUCUAAUUCAUGACCCUAAAACAUCUAAUUCAUGACCUUAAAAUCCUUCUCUUCAUGGGCAUACAAAAAAGUGAAAGUUUUGAUAGACAAAUUCACAGCAGAACUGCCCCAUUCUCCCAUAUAUCAUCAUUGUAAGGCCACUAUCCUUUUGAUUUACUGGUAAGAAAAGGACCUCAAUGUACUGGUAACUUGAAAGUUGAGAAUGUUGUAACACAACUUGGUCGGCAGCAGGUGGGUGGUUGUAUUUUUCAUCUAAGCGGCAGGCAAAUUAAUGUCAUAUACCCAACAUCGUUCCAGCUGCUUUCCCCCAUUGAUUACUGCUUUUUUUUUUUUUUAACUGUAUUAAGCACGUAUUAAUACAGUUUUCUUGAGUAAUAAAGGUUGCAGGCCAACCUCCAGCAGGACUAUUUCUUCUUCUUCUUAAUGUUUUAGACCUUAAAAGGUUUGGUUGUCAUAAAAGAGAAAAAAAAGUUAAUAAGGAUGAAUGCGUUCCUCAUCUGCUGAUUUGCCAUCAAAACUCUGUAUAAUAGUUCACGCGUACGUCUAGCUCUAAAGUGGCACAAGAUUUGGAAUAUAAUAGAAAUGUAAUAGAAAUAGUAGACCAAUGCAUUCAAAAUUUUCAA